rnacentral:rRNA from 1 species
ACGAACGCUGGCGGCGUGCUUCACACAUGCACGUCGAACGGAAAGGCCCUGCUUUUGUGGGGUGCUCGAGUGGCGAACGGGUGAGUAACACGUGAGUAACCUGCCCUUGACUUUGGGAUAACUUCAGGAAACUGGGGCUAAUACCGGAUAGGAGCUCCUGCUGCAUGGUGGGGGUUGGAAAGUUUCGGCGGUUGGGGAUGGACUCGCGGCUUAUCAGCUUGUUGGUGGGGUAGUGGCUUACCAAGGCUUUGACGGGUAGCCGGCCUGAGAGGGGGACCGGCCACAUUGGGACUGAGAUACGGCCCAGACUCCUACGGGAGGCAGCAGUGGGGAAUAUUGCACAAUGGGCGGAAGCCUGAUGCAGCAACGCCGCGUGCGGGAUGACGGCCUUCGGGUUGUAAACCGCUUUCGCCUGUGACGAAGCGUGAGUGACGGUAAUGGGUAAAGAAGCACCGGCUAACUACGUG